CUGAAGAUACUUGUUUGGCCCUGCUGUCUAUUUAGCCAAGCACCCACAACACAAGAUCAGACCCCAAGUUCUGCUGUUUCAGUUGCCACGCCUACAGUUAGUGUUUCAACUCCUGCUCCUACAGCCACACCUGUGCAAACCGUUCCCCAGCCGCACCCUCAGACGUUACCUCCUGCUGUUCCUCAUUCAGUACCUCAGCCAACAACAGCAAUACCUGCUUUUCCACCAGUAAUGGUACCUCCGUUUCGUGUUCCCCUUCCUGGCAUGCCAAUUCCACUUCCAGGUGUAUUGCCAGGAAUGGCCCCUCCUAUCGUACCCAUGAUACAUCCCCAGGUUGCUAUUGCAGCUUCACCUGCUACCUUAGCUGGAGCAACAGCAGUUUCUGAAUGGACUGAAUAUAAAACAGCAGAUGGGAAGACAUAUUAUUAUAAUAAUAGAACAUUAGAAUCAACCUGGGAAAAACCCCAAGAACUAAAGGAAAAAGUUAGAAGAGAAGAUUAAAGAGCCAAUUAAAGAACCCUCUGAAGAGCCUCUGCCAAUGGAGACGGAGGAGGAGGAUCCUAAAGAAGAGCCUAUAAAGGAG
rnacentral:sRNA from 2 species